AUCAAAAUUAAUUCAAAAAAUAGGAAAAAUCAUACCAUUGAAAUCGCUUUUUGUUUUAUGUCGAUAUCUCAAUCCGUUGCCGAGAUAUAAGCGUUCAAAGUUUCUAUGACACUUAACAUAGCGCAGAGAUUAUGAAUGAACUCGCGACCCAGUGACCUAUAUUUUUUUUUCCUGGAAAUGCGUACUAUUUCUAGGAAUCGCGUCUGUCAUUCGUCUGGCGUUUGGGGUAGGUCGGUGAGACGAGGUGCGAGGGAGAGUUCCGAGUAAGCGAAAAGGACGGAGAUGGUAAACGAUUAAAAAAUUACCCCUUCCUUUACACGACGAUAUCUCGGCAACCGGAAGUCGUAUCGGGAUGAAUAAAAAAGCAUUUUAAAGGGCAAGGUCCCGCGCUUCUAAUCAUCGUUUAUUCGUUACCAAAAUAUCAUUAUCUUCCGAGUUAUAGCGGUUCAAAAUUUGUUUAAUUUCAAUAGCGUUUAAUCGAAUUUUAUGAUAAAUUAUGCGAUAAAUAUGUUUAUUUAGGGAAAAAUCUUAUUUGUAAUGAUCUUAUCAAUAGUGUAUUAAAGAUUCUAAAUUGUUUUAAAAGUUAUCUUAUGUAAGUAAUUAUGUUAAUUAAAGAGAUAUAAAAAAGAUUUUUGAAUUUCUUUUUUAUAUCUGCAGAUAUAAGAGAUAAACUGCAGUCUGUGCAACACAGUUUGAAGACAGUCGUACUUUUCUAUCUUAAUUUCUAUAUUAAGAAUAUACUGCAGUAUUCCAUAUUUAUCCAAACGAAAUAAAUUUUAUAUCAAAUAUUUUCUGGUAUAAAAAUUUCAUCAGAAAAUAUGAUAUUUCGCAAAUAAUUACUCUUUAUCAAACUACUUAUUUAAUAUCAAAUCAAUAUCUAUAUAUAUUACAGAAUGACACGAAAUUCUGUGUGAUACGAAAUAACAACGACAUCUUUAUAACUUUCCGUUUAUAUUCAUUUCCUAUUUUCUCGUGUAGAAGAACACAUACAACGAAUAGAUUAUUACAUUAUAUUCAACAAAUUGCUUUCAAACACAAAUUCAAUUUAUUAAUACCAUCUCGAUAUAACCUGUCUAAAUACAAAAUAUAAUUGAGUUAAUGUAACAACCGAAGCAGAAACCUCGAGCAUAUUAUCCAACGAUCACAGGAUUAAAACAAACGUCUACAUGACCGCAAAUCUUAAUCUUAAAACCCAUUCACUGACCUCGUACGCUUAAUAAAGGAACAAUGGAACACUCUUGUAACGUGUAUCAUAUUUCCCAUAGAUACACGUACACACCCAUAGAGUCAACCAUAUUCAAAUAAUCCGAGCUGAGCGAAAGACCAGAGGAAUACACGAGGAUGUAUCUGACGAAUUAUCGCGUUUCAUUGCACGGGGGUAUCGAUCAAUCGUUCACGUCGUUUUAAAUACGUGAUACAAGAAGAAUAGAGAGCGUAGAUUGGGGAAACCAUGGGAAACAAGAUCAUUGAAUCGGAUCGAAGAGGCGGCCGCCGGUGGAAAUAAUGACUCAAAGGGCCCGCUGAGGGUCUUUCACGAGCUAUUCCUAUUAAAAGGGAUCAGCUCGGAAGCGUAAUUACAGCGGAGGAUGUCUUGAGAAGUCAGGGAGAUUAUGCACGGGACAUGAAAGCGGAUGAAAGCGUGUCGAUUGUGUCGAGAAUGAACCCGGUUAGGAAAUACGUUUCCGGUUUAAGGAAAUCCGAGAUUCAUAGAUUGCAACGAGGUGCUUGACUCUGGAGUGAAUCUAAUUAGCUCGAGGAUGUUCGAGUCGUACGUAUAUACCGUUUGAUAAAUCAGAUCAAUUGUUAAUCGCGCUCGAAUCUUGCAUUUAAAGUCGGUGAUAAUCGAUGCUUAUAAAUGUCUAUAGAAGUUCCGUCUUCUUUUCUUGUCGAUGCUAUGAAUCCUGCACGUUUUUUUGGAUAAUUGUAUUUAAUCGGAAAGCAAUACUAUUUCAUCAGACAAAUGGAAAAUUAAAUACUUAUAAUACUUGCACGAUCUCGGAAAUCUCAUUACAAAGAAAAAUUCAAAUGGAGAAAUUAACUUUAUUAGGGAUGGAAGUCACUUUGGUGCAUGUUUCGUGAUAAUUUGUUAUUUAUGAGGAAUGUGUACGAGAGUACUUAUUAUUAUUUCGCGUCUAGAAUUUUAAUUCUAGAUUCAAAACUAGACCAAAAGUUGUUGGAUAUGUGCGAGCGAUUUAUUUUUUUAGAGAAAGAAGAAGAAAAGCCACAGUUUGAGAUUUAUUAACAGAUUCACGAUUUCUUUUUAAUUUAUAAUUUAUAAUAAUACUACCCACGAAUUCGAAUAUUUUAAAUCACCGAUGUGUUACAGUUCAUAUUUAUUCAAGAGUUGUCAUCGGUGUCGCUAUCGAAAUCAAACUGUCGUAUCAAAAGUCCAUACAGGACUCAUGACGUAUGAAAAUAGUCGAGUGAGUUCACGUUGAGGGAAUUCACAGUGAAAUUUGCAGCAACAGGUAUUUCGGCGUUGUUUGCACGUCUGCGAGUGACGUAUUAUUCUGAACGUUAUGGAUGUUUCUUCGAACUUUUUUUCUCUCUCUCUUUUUUUUUUUUUUAUGUCACGAAUCGUCAUAAAAACGACGCACGGUUGACACGUCAACACCGUUGCGAAUAUUGUUUAUUGCCCCGUGAAAAAUCUGAAGAAGAAAAAAAGGGGGGAGAAGUUGAGAGGGCACGAUUUCGAAAGUGUUGGACGAAACGUACACGCGGCAAAGCUUGUAUCCAAGACGGAAAUAGUCCCUUUGAAUCUAAAAUGCGACAGUAACUGGAAAAGAAUUCACUGUCAAAUCAAACGCGAAGUCGCGCACCGCACGAGAAUGCUCUUGGAUAACAAAGGAAAUGGACAAAGGAAGUGGAAUAUCUCUCAAGUGGAAUAUCGAAGAUUACUCGAUAAUCCAAUCAAUUCCAACUUUCCGAGGAAAAAUUGUUUGCAUCAGGGAGAUGCAAAUACAAUUCCAUAAACGGAGGGAUAAUAAACAUUCAACUAGCGAAGGAUUAAAUCAAAUCCAAGUCGCCAUGUUGAUUUUCGAAUCUUCCCCGAAUCAAACCGAUCGUCCUCCACGGAGAAAUUUCACGAUGGUGCGGUCGCGUUAAAGGAUUUUGGGACGUGACCCAAUUCUCGUUCCCUGGAUGCAAUCAUCGUUUGAUGGUGGAGGGGCGAGGAGGACACCGAGGAGGAAGAAAGAGGGAUUAUGGAGAGAAUCGUGGCGAAGGAUCGUGCGGUCAAGAAGGAGAUUUAGGCGGUGGAGGAAGUGCGGGGCACAACAAUCACGGGCGAUUGAAUCGGCCUCGCGAGGGAUCUAUCGAUUCUGCCCGAUACCAUCUUGUUUCUGGCAGGAGAGAAGGCAAAGAGAAAGGAGGCGAGGUUGUAAUUUGUUGUAAUUGGUUCUUUCGCUUCGAGACUUCUUUGCGAGACUUCCGAUUUAAGAGGUCCGUUUGGUCCGACUUUAGAGAUUGGACGGCGGCACCAUUGUUUGGUCCACUGUUGUUUGGUUCCCUUAGCUGGGGAGGGAAAGGGAUUUAAGAGAAUUUCGAAUGAUCCGGAGAAAUUAAUUUUAUCGCCAAGUCGAGUGGAAAUCGUCUAACAGGAUCUUUCGGCAGAGGGAUGUGGCUAAAGGAUAUUAAUUAAAUUUCUAAAUGAACGUUUAUUGAUUUAUCUGACAGGUGAUUUAUCUGUUAUUUAGUAAUUUUUUUCCUCUAGGAAAAUAUAGCAUAGAAUUAUACGUAAAAGAAUAUUGUUUAUUUAUUAAGUUAUAUUCAAAUCAAGUACAUUAAUUUUUGUGUGUUUUUUAGUCUUUAGAAUCGGUUAUUUAAAGAUGUCUAUAUUUAUGAAUAUAUGUAUAAUAAUGUAUAAUAAUGUAUAAUAUAACAUAUGAAUAUAUAUAUAAUAUAUUGUAAACGCGAUAAAUUAUUAUAUAUAAUUAUGGAAAUUGAACUAGAUCCAAAUGCAACAUUCGAGAAUAAGGAAGGAAAUGAGCAUUGCGAAUUACUUUUACCUAUGCGCACGAAUGCACAAUAGCAUUACAAUCUUUGUAUCCAGCUUAUCUGCGCAAUAAUUGCAUCUUGGUUCUCGAUUCACAUGCAUUCGUAUGUAUGUACACGAUUUUAAUGCUUACUAAGAUGUAGUAUCCUCAGUUACACCAAGUCCUGUACACUAUAAUCCGCCACUAAUACGGUUUGUAAUCUCGUAUCACACCUCCUUUACACGCAGGAAGUCAUAUCUAUGCACGUAUUCUCUUCAAAUUUAUUACGUUAGAUUUGCAUACGUCAAAUAGGUAUCUAUCCUUUUUCAUCUUGUGCAAAUUUGAACUUUGACAUCUGUUGUCUUAUGUUUGAAAUUUGCACUCUCUUAUGCUCCAAUAUUUUCGAUGCUUAUUUCGUGUAUUAAUAAGCGAUUAGCAUAUUUUCUCGAUUCAUCUGUAACUUUCUCUUUCAUUAUUAAUUCUUAUUUAAAAACAACAAAACCAUAUCCUGAAUAGAGGAUAAAUACCUUCAUUCAAGAGAUACAUGAAAUACAUGAAAAAGUCGAAGAAAUUUAUUCAAAAUUUGAAUUUAAUAUGUAUGAUACGAUAUAAAAAUUCAUGGUUCGAGUGGAGCAUAAAAUUAAAUAAAACAGUAAUUAAGAGACACUACGGAUACCAUCGAGAAGAAAAUUUUAUUUUAUAUACAAUUGAUAUACAAGA